rnacentral:rRNA from 1 species
GACAGAGGUCCCGAGCGUUAGACGGAAUCACUGGGCUUAAAGCGUGUGUAGGCGGAUCUGUAAGUACCUUGUGAAAUCCCAUAGCUUAACUAUGGAACUGCUUGGUAUACUGCGGGUCUGAGCCACUUAGGGGCAACCGGAACAAAUGGUGGAGCGGUGAAAAUGCGUAGAUAUCAUUUGGAACGCCAAUGGUGAAAACAGGUUGCUGGGAGUGUGCUGACGCUGAGACACGAAAGCCAGGGGAGCAAGCGGG